rnacentral:rRNA from 1 species
CCUACGGGAGGCUGCAGUGGGGAAUAUUGCACAAUGGGCGCAAGCCUGAUGCAGCCAUGCCGCGUGUGUGAAGAAGGCCUUCGGGUUGUAAAGCACUUUCAGCGGGGAGGAAGGCGUUAAGGUUAAUAACCUUGUCGAUUGACGUUACCCGCAGAAGAAGCACCGGCUAACUCCGUGCCAGCAGCCGCGGUAAUACGGAGGGUGCAAGCGUUAAUCGGAAUUACUGGGCGUAAAGCGCACGCAGGCGGUCUGUCAAGUCGGAUGUGAAAUCCCCGGGCUCAACCUGGGAACUGCAUUCGAAACUGGCAGGCUAGAGUCGUGUAGAGGGGGGUAGAAGUCCAGGUGUAGCGGUGCAAUGCGUAGAGAGCUGGAGGAAUACCGGUGGCGAAGGCGGCCCCCUGGACAAAGACUGACGCUCAGGUGCGAAAGCGUGGGGAGCAAACAGGAUUAGAUACCCGGUAGUC